rnacentral:rRNA from 1 species
UGGAAGCCGGCAGCACCUGAAGCCGCUGAGCCAACGCGCAAGCGAGGCAUGCGUCUAGGGUGAGGCUGGUAACGUGGGACGAAGUCGUAACAACGGUACC